AUUGAACGCUGGCGGCAGGCCUAACACAUGCAAGUCGAGCGGAUGAAGGGAGCUUGCUCCUGGAUUCAGCGGCGGACGGGUGAGUAAUGCCUAGGAAUCUGCCUGGUAGUGGGGGAUAACGUCCGGAAACGGGCGCUAAUACCGCAUACGACCUGAGGGAGAAGGUGGGGGAUCUUCGGACCUCACGCUAUCAGAUGAGCCUAGGUCGGAUUAGCUAGUUGGUGGGGUAAAGGCCUACCAAGGCGACGAUCCGUAACUGGUCUGAGAGGAUGAUCAGUCACACUGGAACUGAGACACGGUCCAGACUCCUCCGGGAGGCAGCAGUGGGGAAUAUUGGGCAAUGGGCGAAAGCCUGAUCCAGCCAUGCCGCGUGUGUGAAGAAGGUCUUCGGAUUGUAAAGCACUUUAAGUUGGGAGGAAGGGCAGUAAGUUAAUACCUUGCUGUUUUGACGUUACCUACAGAAUAAGCACCGGCUAACUACGUG
rnacentral:rRNA from 1 species